rnacentral:rRNA from 1 species
UACCUGCGGAGGGAUCAUUACUGAGUUUACGCUCUACAACCCUUUGUGAACAUACCUAUAACUGUUGCUUCGGCGGGUAGGGUCUCCGUGACCCUCCCGGCCUCCCGCCCCCGGGCGGGUCGGCGCCCGCCGGAGGAUAACCAAACUCUGAUUUAACGACGUUUCUUCUGAGUGGUACAAGCAAAUAAUCAAAACUUUUAACAACGGAUCUCUUGGUUCUGGCAUCGAUGAAGAACGCAGCGAAAUGCGAUAAGUAAUGUGAAUUGCAGAAUUCAGUGAAUCAUCGAAUCUUUGAACGCACAUUGCGCCCGCCAGCAUUCUGGCGGGCAUGCCUGUUCGAGCGUCAUUUCAACCCUCAAGCUCUGCUUGGUGUUGGGGCCCUACAGCUGAUGUAGGCCCUCAAAGGUAGUGGCGGACCCUCCCGGAGCCUCCUUUGCGUAGUAACUUUACGUCUCGCACUGGGAUCCGGAGGGACUCUUGCCGUAAAACCCCCAAUUUCCAAAGGUGACCUCGAUCAGUAGAUCC